UGUAGAUUCCUGAGCAUUGCCUAACCUCAAGGAAUUGCACUCCUUGGGAGUGAGGCUCAGGAAUCUGCAUUUUAACAUGCCUCCUCACCCACAACCCAAGAUUCCCAUGCACAGUGAAGUUUAAGAACCAAUCGGACAAAAGCACUUCAGGAGAGGUAACGAGUUUUGACAGAAAGGCCGGAGGAGGGAAGGGCCCGGGGAUGGAAGAUGGGCACAGGAUGCCCUGGUGUGGCAGCAAUCAAGCGGGGUGCAUUUAAGGACAGGGCUUGGGCUAAGAGGCUGCUCCGACGCGAGGCAGCAUCCGCAGACUGGUCAAGAGGAUGGGGACGCGGGGAGAGAUGAACGAGAGGAGGAGCGAAGGCAGAAAUAACGGGGGGUUCUCGGAAGCAGACAAGGCCCGGAGGUCCGGUUCCCGGAGUCUCCUUCACUCACCAUCGCCGCCGCCAUCUUGGAUCCACGUGUCGCCGUGAUGACGUCAGCGGAAGUGGCGCUUCCGUGGGUACGGACUGUAAACUCCACGAGCGGGUCGUCUCGCUUCGGUUGCUUCUGUAGUCGCAGCAGUGAAGAGCCCCGUCUGUUUGCCUGCCGGCUUCCCCGUUUGGAAACCUCCACUUCUGAGCUGUAAAAACCUUUAUCUUCCUCAUGUCCAAAGCUGAUCGCCAGAUUUUAGGGAGAGACCGCCAAUGUACACGAAUAAAAAAGGCUUGCUUUGAUUAAUUUGUC